GGGCACCAUUGGGGUUACACCAUGGGCAGUAUUGGGGUACAACAUGGGAACUAUUGGGCUACAACAUGAGCAGUAUUGGGGUUACACCAUGGGCAGCAUUGGGGUUUCACUAUGGGCACUAUUGGGGUUACACUACGGGCAGUAGUGGGGUACACCAUGGGAACUAUUGGGGUACACCAUGGGCAGCAUUGGGGUAUCCCAUGGACAGAAGUGGGGUUACACUACGGACACCAUUGGGGUUACACCAUGGGCAUUAUUGGGGUUACAGCAUGGGCAGCACCGGGACCCCCCCCAUAAGCACAGAAGGAGGAGGGGACCGCACUUAUGGGGUGGAGGGGGAACAAAGGGUCUUCCUGGAGAGGCCACACGUUGCUAUUAGGGUGUGUGGGCAGCCCCGGUGCAUGCAGCUCCUGCACGGUGCUGGUGGGUGCAUGGGGUCAGCAGGGUGCACAGUGCAGCAUGCACGACCGGUGUGCAACACGCAUGCUCAGCAUGCAACAUGCAAUGUGCAUAUAGCGUGCAACAUGUUAUGUGCCUGCCAGGUGUGCAACAUGCAAGCAAGUGCAAUGUGUGCCCUCCGUGUGCAGCACGGUGCACAGUGGGUGCAUGGUGCUGCGUGGGUGAUGUGUGCACGUUGGUGGUGGUGCACAGAGUUGGUGGGUGCAUGAUUUUGGGUGCUGGAUGGGUGCACAGUGCCACAUGUGUGCAUGGUGUUGGGUGGGCGCACAGCCCUGGAUGGUUGCACGGUGCUGGUUGGGUGCACAGCGUUGGUAGGUGCACGGUGCAGGAUGCAUGCACAGCAUUGCUGGGUGCAGUGUUGGUGGGUGCAUUGGUGCUGGAUGUGUGCACCGUGCUGCUGGGUGCUCAGUGUUGCUGGGUGCGUGGUGCAGGAUGCAUGCACAGCAUUGCUGGGUGUCAUGUUGCUGGGUGCACAGCGUUGAUGUGUGCACAGUGCAGGAUGCAUGCACAGCAUUGGUGGGUGCACAGUGUUGCUGGGUGCACGGUGCAGAAUGCGUGCACAGCAUUGCUGGGUGCAGAGCACUGAUGUGUGCAUGGUGCAGGAUGUGUGCACCGUGCUGCUGGGUGCUCAGUGUUGCUGGGUGCGUGGUGCAGGAUGCAUGCACAGCAUUGCUGGGUGUCAUGUUGCUGGGUGCACAGCGUUGAUGUGUGCACAGUGCAGGAUGCAUGCACAGCAUUGGUGGGUGCACAGUGUUGCUGGGUGCACGGUGCAGAAUGCGUGCACAGCAUUGCUGGGUGCAGAGCACUGAUGUGUGCAUGGUGCAGGAUGCGUUCACAGCGUUGGUGGGUGCACAGCAUUGCUGGGUGCAGUGUUGCUGGG
rnacentral:lncRNA from 1 species